UACGGAGGAUGCAAGCGUUAUCCGGGAUGAUUGGGCGUAAAGGGUCCGCAGGUGGCCCUGUGAGUCUGCUGUUAAAGAGUGAGGCUUAACCUCAUAAAAGCAGUGGAAACUACAGAGCUAGAGUGCGUUCGGGGUAGCAGGAAUUCCUGGUGUAGCGGUGAAAUGCGUAGAGAUCAGGAAGAACACCGGUGGCGAAAGCGUGCUACUAGGCCGUAACUGACACUGAGGGACGAAAGCUAGGGGAGCGAAUGGC
rnacentral:rRNA from 1 species